rnacentral:rRNA from 1 species
UACGAAGGGGGCGAGCGUUGUUCGGAAUUACUGGGCGUAAAGGGCGCGUAGGCGGCCGAUCAAGUCAGAUGUGAAAGUCCUGGGCUUAACCUGGGGACUGCAUUUGAUACUGAUUGGCUUGAAUUCGGGAGAGGAUAGCGGAAUUCCCAGUGUAGAGGUGAAAUUCGUAGAUAUCGGGAGGAACACCAGAGGCGAAGGCGGCGACCUGGAAGGUAACUGACACUGAGCAGCGAAAGCGUGGGGAGCAAACAGG